rnacentral:rRNA from 1 species
CCUACGGGGGACUGCAGUGGGGAAUAUUGCACAAUGGGGGAAACCCUGAUGCAGCGACGCCGCGUGAGUGAAGAAGGAAUUCGUUAUGUAAAGCUCUAUCAGCAGGGAAGAAAAGGACGGUACCUGAGUAAGAAGCCCCGGCUAACUACGUGCAAGCAGCCGCGGUAAUACGCAGGGGGCAAGCGUUAUCCGGAUUUACUGGGUGUAAAGGGAGCGUAGAGGGGAGUGCAAGUCUGGAGUGAAAGGUGGGGGCUCAACCCCCGGACUGCUCUUGAAACUGUACGGCUUGAGUGCAGGAGAGGUAGGUGGAAUUCCUGGUGUAGCGGUGAAAUGCGUAGAUAUUAGGAAGAACACCGGUGGCGAAGGCGGCUUACUGGACUGUAACUGACGUUGAGGCUCGAAAGCGUGGGGAGCAAACAGGAUUAGAUACCCGGGUAGUC